rnacentral:rRNA from 1 species
UACUGAAAGAGUUUUCGGACAAUGGAUGUAGAGGAAAGUGGCGGACGGGUGAGUAACGCGUGAGGAACCUGCCUUGAAGAGGGGGACAACAUUUCGAAAGGAAUGCUAAUACCGCAUAAAAUAACAGUACCGCAUGAUACAGUUAUCAAAGAUUUAUCGCUUCAAGAUGGCCUCGCGUCUGAUUAGCUGGUUGGCGGGGUAACGGCCCACCAAGGCGACGAUCAGUAGCCGACCUGAGAGGGUGACCGGCCACAUUGGGACUGAGACACGGCCCAAACUCC